rnacentral:rRNA from 1 species
UCGCUACUACCGAUUGAAUGAAUUAGUGAAUUUCAGGGACAGUCGACUUUGACAGGGUUUCCUGGCUUUGUUGAUCGGAACUGACAUAAACUUGUGCAUUUAGAGGAAGUAA